UACACCGAGCCAUCACCUCAGCGGUCGAUGACUCCACCAUUGGCAGAAUUGAUGACACCAGGGCCACUACAGAGGGAGAGCAUCUCUCUCGAAACGCCGGAAUAAAUCCACACUCCUCCAGCCUCCAGCUCCCCCUCUGAUGUAUGCCUGUCCUCUGCUCUCCUUGGGUGCACAUGGGAGUUAUUUGAGCCUUUCUGGGACCAGCGGGAAGCGGCGCUGCCACACCGGCUCACUGUUGGAUUACCCCUCGUUGCUCCUGGUAGUCAAGCAUGAAGUUUGAAGAAAGGCAUUAAGGAUUCAUCAGUGGGACAAGUGAACAUCGGCUGUGGGUGUGGAUUGAUGUCAUAUCUUUUCAUGGCGAGUUAAAGGUUUGGAAGGAGCAUGGAAAUGCGCAUCUUUUCAUCUCGCAGCAGACGGCGGCGCGGCGCAUGCAUUCCUACAACUGGUGAAGUUUAAUGAUUCUAUUCAGCCCCUGUUCAUCUCACCCAGAAAUAAUUUAAUAAGAAACUUUGCCCUUUGGGAGUCUCUGUGUCCUGUCACAAUAGUCGGCGGACGGACCAAAAGACGGCUUGCAUACAACAAAGAGGAAGUCCUGACUAUGGAAGCCUUUGAUACCCUUCAUUUAUUUGUUCAGUGCCUCUCUUUUUUUGUUUUUCGUGACAGACUUUCGUGCUGAAAUGUUUGAUUUUGCAGCUACACACUUUGGUUAUGCGAGUGUCAAAUGACUGGAUUUCACAAUUUUCAGUUUGGAUUAGAGUGUAGAAAAAGGUUAGCAUCCGAAUUUUUCUAAAAUAUGUUUUAGUUCAUAUUCAUGUCCACACGUAUCAUGGGUGUACAUUUACCAUUUUUAUCAUACAUGCGAUUUGUACAGUACAUGUACAGUAAAAUGA